rnacentral:rRNA from 1 species
UACGGGGGGGGCAAGCGUUGUUCGGAAUUACUGGGCGUAAAGGGCUCGUAGGCGGCCAACUAAGUCAGACGUGAAAUCCCUCGGCUUAACCGGGGAACUGCGUCUGAUACUGGAUGGCUUGAAUCCGGGAGAGGGAUGCGGAAUUCCAGGUGUAGCGGUGAAAUGCGUAGAUAUCUGGAGGAACACCGGUGGCGAAGGCGGCAUCCUGGACCGGCAUUGACGCUGAUGAGCGAAAGCUAGGGGAGCGAACAGG